rnacentral:lncRNA from 1 species
AAGGUGAAAAUAGUGGGUAUUCUCAAAUUUGGUUGAAACCAAUGGGUAAUCGCAAAUUAACCAUUAAAACCAGUGGGCCAUCUCAAAUUCGCCCAAAAAUAAAAAUGACAAGAACGAAUUCAACGAAAACAUCACUACUCCCCUGCAUUCUCGUCAGAACAAGUUCAAACCUGAUCAUUCCAAGUUUCUCAAUUCCAACUGAAGCUAAAAUCUUCUUUCACAACCUAACAACCUGAUCAUCACCAAGACACCGCCAUAAAUGAACAACCUUUCACUUCAAACUCGCAACUUAAAAUGAUAAUACUCCAAUCACCAAUUUCUCAGCGCCAGGUCCAUUCUUCCGGGAAUCCAUAGACUGCCAAACCAUGUCUCAGCAACCAUCUUCCACAUAACACUAAAAAAACAUAAAUUUAUCCCAAAAUUGCACAUUUCAAUUCUUAACAAUGAUUCGUUCUUCAGCAACGAUUCAUAAUCUCUGAUUCUCCUCAAUCGAUUCGCAAUUUCUAACAAGAAAGAGAGAAGACUAAUAAUAAAUGAGAGAGAAGAAUAAACAACGUCAAUUUUGAAUUUGUCAUCUAAAAUUGAAUAAAAAUAGGCAUUUUACCUCUAUUGUUGAACACUAGAUCUUGUCAUUUGAACACCAAUGCUCUUCAAAUCUUAUCAUAAAAUCAAAUCUUGUGUUCGUGGAUAAAUUCGACUCAUAUAACUUCUAAAAUCCUAGAAAAAGAUAGAUCCUUGGAAACGAAACGAAUUUAAACCGAAUGGAAGUUGUUGAAGAGAUUGAAUAAUGAAGAAGAAGAAGAACAUGUAAGUAAGAGAAGAGAGUAAUUGAAGAAGAAGAACAAACUAAUAACAAUCUUUGAAAACUCAAGGAAAAUAGAAAGAAGGAUUGAAGAAGUUCAGAAGGAUGUUGUACACUUUUCAGUUUUCUCUCUCUCUCUCUCUUUCUCUCUUGUCGUGAAGAUCUUUUGCUUCUCUUUUCG